GGGACUACUACCAUAUAUCCGAUCUGUCUGAUUCAAAGGUCAUUAAGCAGUGUAUGACUUAUAAAAGCCUCCAAAACAGUUAAAGGCAACAGUGUUAAAGCUGGAAAGAGCUUAUGGAAUCUGCUACACCUGGGCCAGGACCAGAGUGAAUUGUCAGCUCUCUGAGUGGCCACCAGACUGAAUCCCAAAAUGGCAAACAUCCCCCCACUUCAGCUCUUGCUUGUAGCCCAUAAUCAAGUUUACAUAAACAGAAAGUUCCUCUAAAUCAGAUCCAAAGAGCAAGGAGUGCUAAAUCCUGCCAAGAGAGAGACAACGCUUCUCUGCCCGCAACUGUUUCAUCUCGGCACUCAAGGCUCUGCAAACCACUGUGUGGAAACAUUUGACUCAGGGCAGCCCGCGAGAAGGAAGGAGGCAGGAGCGCCUUUGCAGCAUGCGAGCUACAGUGAGCGUGGCCGGGGCUUGGUGACACCCAGUCCCUCCCUUCUCUGCCUCCCGGUCUUGGGAGUCAGUUAAGUGUUAUAAACUCUUAAUCACACCCUUGUUUUCCCAAAUAAAGUGCAGCUAAUAG
rnacentral:lncRNA from 1 species